AUUGAACGCUGGCGGCAGGCCUAACACAUGCAAGUCGAACGGUAACAGGAAGAAUCUUUCUUCUUUGCUGACGAGUGGCGGACGGGUGAGUAAUGUCUGGGAAACUGCCUGAUGGAGGGGGAUAACUACUGGAAACGGUAGCUAAUACCGCAUAACGUCGCAAGCCCAAAGAGGGGGACCUUCUGGCCUCUUGCCAGCUGAUGUGCCCAGAUGGGAUUAGCUUGUAGGUGGGGUAACGGCUCACCUAGGCGACGAUCCCUAGCUGGUCUGGGGGGAUGACCACCCACACUGGAACUGAGCCACGGUCCAGACUCCUACGGGAGGCAGCAGUGGGGAAUAUUGCACAAUGGGCGCAAGCCUGAUGCAGCCAUGCCGCGUGUAUGACGACGGCCUUCGGGUUGUAAAGUACUUUCAGCGGGGAUGAAGGGAGUAAAGUUAAUACCUUUGCUCAUUGACGUUACCCGCAGAAGAAGCACCGGCUAACUCCGUG
rnacentral:rRNA from 1 species